rnacentral:rRNA from 1 species
GAGCGGCGGACGGGUGAGUAACACUUAGGAAUCUACCUAGUAGUGGGGGAUAGCUCGGGGAAACUCGAAUUAAUACCGCAUACGUCCUACGGGAGAAAGGGGGCAACUUGUUGCUCUCGCUAUUAGAUGAGCCUAAGUCGGAUUAGCUAGUUGGUGGGGUAAAGGCCUACCAAGGCGACGAUCUGUAGCUGGUCUGAGAGGAUGAUCAGCCACACCGGGACUGAGACACGGCCCGGACUCCUACGGGAGGCAGCAGUGGGGAAUAUUGGACAAUGGGGGCAACCCUGAUCCAGCCAUGCCGCGUGUGUGAAGAAGGCCUUUUGGUUGUAAAGCACUUUAAGCAGUGAAGAAGACCUAACGGUUAAUACCCGUUAGCGAUGACAUUAGCUGCAGAAUAAGCACCGGCUAACUCUGUGCCAGCAGCCGCGGUAAUACAGAGGGUGCAAGCGUUAAUCGGAAUUACUGGGCGUAAAGCGAGCGUAGGUGGCUUGAUAAGUCAGAUGUGAAAUCCCCGGGCUUAACCUGGGAACUGCAUCUGAUACUGUUAGGCUAGAAUAGGUGAGAGGAAGGUAGAAUUCCAGGUGUAGCGGUGAAAUGCGUAGAGAUCUGGAGGAAUACCGAUGGCGAAGGCAGCCUUCUGGCAUCAUAUUGACACUGAGGUUCGAAAGCGUGGGUAGCAAACAGGAUUAGAUACCCUGGUAGUCCACGCCGUAAACGAUGUCUACUAGUCGUUGGGUCCCUUGAGGACUUAGUGACGCAGCUAACGCAAUAAGUAGACCGCCUGGGGAGUACGGCCGCAAGGUUAAAACUCAAAUGAAUUGACGGGGGCCCGCACAAGCGGUGGAGCAUGUGGUUUAAUUCGAUGCAACGCGAAGAACCUUACCUGGUCUUGACAUAUCUAGAAUCUUGCUAGAGAUGCGAGAGUGCCUUCGGGAAUUAGAAUACAGGUGCUGCAUGGCUGUCGUCAGCUCGUGUCGUGAGAUGUUGGGGUUAAGUCCCGCAACGAGCGCAACCCUUGUCCUUAGUUACCAGCGGGGUUAAGCCGGG